CAACCUGCCCACCACUUGGGGAUAACCUUGCGAAAGUAAGACUAAUACCCAAUGAUAUCUCUAGAAGACAUCUGAAAGAGAUUAAAGAUUUAUCGGUGAUGGAUGGGGAUGCGUCUGAUUAGCUUGUUGGCGGGGUAACGGCCCACCAAGGCGACGAUCAGUAGGGGUUCUGAGAGGAAGGUCCCCCACAUUGGAACUGAGACACGGUCCAAACUCCUACGGGAGGCAGCAGUGAGGAAUAUUGGUCAAUGGACGAGAGUCUGAACCAGCCAAGUAGCGUGCAGGAUGACGGCCCUAUGGGUUGUAAACUGCUUUUAUAAGGGAAUAAAGUGAGUCUCGUGAGACUUUUUGCAUGUACCUUAUGAAUAAGGACCGGCUAAUUCCGUGCCAGCAGCCGCGGUAAUACGGAAGGUCCGGGCGUUAUCCGGAUUUAUUGGGUUUAAAGGGAGCGUAGGCCGGAGAUUAAGCGCGUUGUGAAAUGUAGACGCUCAACGUCUGCACUGCAGCGCGAACUGGUUUCCUUGAGUACGCACAAAGUGGGCGGAAUUCGUGGUGUAGCGGUGAAAUGCUUAGAUAUCACGAAGAACUCCGANUG
rnacentral:rRNA from 1 species